AUUGAACGCUGGCGGCAUGCCUUACACAUGCAAGUCGAACGGGCAGCGGACCUUCGGGUGCCGGCGAGUGGCGAACGGGUGAGUAAUAUAUCGGAACGUACCUUUCAGUGGGGGAUAACGUAGCGAAAGUUACGCUAAUACCGCAUAUUCUGUGAGCAGGAAAGCAGGGGAUCGCAAGACCUUGCGCUGAUUGAGCGGCCGAUAUCAGAUUAGCUAGUUGGUGAGGUAAAGGCUCACCAAGGCGACGAUCUGUAGCGGGUCUGAGAGGAUGAUCGCCACACUGGAACUGAGACACGGUCCAGACUCCUACGGGAGGCGAGCAGUGGGGAAUUUUGGAC
rnacentral:rRNA from 1 species